AGACAAGACCUCCUGUGAAGCCAAUGGCUACCACAACCAGUUUUGUCCAAAAUGGCCAUUCAAGGACACCUUUGAAAUGAAAAAGAGAAAAUGUUAUCACCAAGUUGUCCUCAGUGGAUUUGGUCAUUUUUUUUUUCUAUGACCCUUCAAAAGCCCGUGCUUGCCUUCUAGAUUAUGUAUGUUAACAGAAAUAAUAUAUUCUUCAUAACUAGAAAGAAUUAUAACCCGAAUUGGCGUAAUUCCUUUUGAGUAUCCUACAUGUACUGUCAAAAUUGUAUAUCAGGACAUUUUCUCACCUAUCACUGUCAAAUCUCUUAUUUCUCCUAGCAUCAAGUACCUAUCAUAAUUAUGAGAUAUUAUGUUAGAUUUUGGACAUUUGGACACUGACAUUUAUCCCUUAUAGCUAGACUUUUAAGGAAGGAUGGUGAACAUAAUGGAAGAAUCAGAGUUUAAAAUCCUUCUAAGAAGAUGAGGUAUAGGUACAUGUAUGGGUUUGUAUGUACAGGUCUUCCCACCCUCAUUUAUUUUAAAAUGUAAAAGGAAAGGAAGGAAUGGAAGAAGGGAGAUGGGGAGGAGUAAGAGGGAGGGGAAGGAAAAAGCUGCCACAUCUCACCAGAGAGAGAAUUCCUGAGUACAAACAUGCAAAAGAUUUAGGAUUUUAGCCAUUUGUUUCAUAAAUCAUAUUUUGUCAUUGAGAACCAUCACACUUUUAUAGAUGUCUAUAUUUUCUCUUAAUUUCCAUCACCAUUACUAGAAAUAGGCUUUCUUUUGUAAAUACAGUUUUAAAAAUUAUUUCACAGGCAUUUCAGUGACUACAACAGUGAGUAUUUAGGCAAUACAUAAUUAUGAAUGUUAAAUAUAUGAGGGUCAAGAGUGUUAAAUAUAUGAGGGUCAAGUGGUCCUCUUGCCCACAUUAGGGUGGUGUGGGGGACAAUAGCUGUCUUCCCGUAAGUGAAAAGUUGUGAAGUAGAAAAAUAUAGCUCAGUAUGGCUCAAUACAGUGCACCAGGAAGGGAUGGUAGAAAUGUGUAAAAACCAUGGUAAUUGAGAGUCUAUGAUUUGACUUUGGAUUUUUAUUUACUUACAACAGUGAUUAGAGUUAUAAGAAAUAUCCUAUCUAUAUUUUGUAGUAGUGACAUUUGCUUUAUGCUUCUGGAAGCAAAGCAGAAAUCAUGCCCUGUUUGUUUCCAUCAUGAUGAAGCACCUUGUACCCUAAGAUUAACCAAAAAUAACAGCGUUACCCUGUCAAUUUCUGGUCCCAAAAUAAUGAAACAUUGAGUAUUUCUUAUAAUCCCAGAUCCCCAGCAAACACCAUUUUAUUCUUGACUUUUAUUUAGCUCAUGUUGCAAGAUCUUUCUGAAUAUGAUCAUCAUGUGAUAAGAUUUUGUUUUUUCUCCAUGAACAAAUUAAUGCAAACUUAGUAAUCAUGGUAAUCUUCUUUAUAUUUUUCUUUAAAUACCUGUUAUAUUUUUCACUUGCUUAUCCAGUUUUUCUGAAGUCUGACUCCCUUGAACCUUUUCAAGUAAACUCUUUUUCUUUUCAAAAUGCUUUGGCUCUGACUCUUCCUUUGAAAUUUUUGGGGAAAAAAUGUUCUCUGAUCUUAAAAGGGAUUGUAAGAAAACAUGAAAAGCCUCUCACUGUUGUUGAUGUUUCAUUAAUUUGUUGCUCUGUUUGGCACUGUCAAUUUAAAAUAAAUUUCUAUGCCUCUUUCAGCAAUCAAAUCUGAACUUAGUUUUUGAGUAGAUUAAAUAUAUGCAAUCAAAUUUAUUAGAACCUUUACCGGUAGCAAAGGUAAAUUUUUUCUAACUAACUCCUAAUACGCAAGGACUUCUUUAUGACUUGAAUAAUUCAUAGUAGUCAUCAUCUUGAAUAUUUACUUAAUCCUAAUGGAAAUAAUACUUCAAAAUAUCAUUGGCCAAAGCUCACACAGGAGAAAUAAGAGAUCAUUACAGUGGCAGGUGUAAUUAAUAGGCAGAUAAUUAAAUAUCCCUAGAUCUAUUAAAGAAAUUAAAUCAACCAUAACCUUUCAGAGCAGAAAGCACCAAGCUCAAAUAGUUUUACUAGUGGAUUCUACCAAACAUUUAAAGAAGAAAUGACAUCAAUGUUCUACAGUCUUUUCCAGAAAAUAGAAGAGAUAAUACUUCCUAACUAAUCGGGUGAGACUAGCAUUACCCAAUACUAAAUUCGGCAAAGACAAUUACUAUGAAGAAAAGUUAUAGGCCAGUAUCUCUCAUGAGCAGAUACAA
rnacentral:lncRNA from 10 species